rnacentral:rRNA from 1 species
UACGAAGGGGGCUAGCGUUGCUCGGAAUCACUGGGCGUAAAGGGUGCGUAGGCGGGUCUUUUAAGUCAGGGGUGAAAUCCUGGAGCUCAACUCCAGAACUGCCUUUGAUACUGAAGAUCUUGAGUUCGGGAGAGGUGAGUGGAACUGCGAGUGUAGAGGUGAAAUUCGUAGAUAUUCGCAAGAACACCAGUGGCGAAGGCGGCUCACUGGCCCGAUACUGACGCUGAUGCGCGAAAGCGUGGGGAGCAAACGGGG